CAGCUGGCCAAUCAGGACGCAGGUAGCUCUAAAGGUCAAGGUAACAAACCUCUCCCAGGACCAUUCACAGACCUCGUCUUACCCUCCCCACAAAACCUGGCAGCCAGCGCUUAAUGUGAUUUCCCUGCUGUCUUCCGACGACUGGAGCAUACAAAGCUGAUAGUGGAUGUCUUGGAGUUGAAGCAAAGCAGACCUGAAUGAGUCCCGACUCCAACUUCAUUGUCUGUGUAACUUGGGCACACAGAAAAUACGGGCAAUGAGGGUUGCUGUGAAGAUCAAAUGUGAUCAUGUGUCUGAAGAGCUCGGCUCGCAGGUGCUUGGGGAGCUCCAGUCAAACUGGUUUUCACAUUCAGAAGCUGGAAUGGUGUUUAGCAAAGCCAUUGAAGAAGCAAGAAGAGAAGAAGGGAUGGGAGAACCCCAGGCCCACCUCCUUCUGGCUAUGUGUGGAUACAUGAGAUGAGCAGCUUUGCCCUAUCAGAUGCCACUCACAUGAGGCUCUGCCUUGCCCCAGCCCUAAAAACAACAAGGCAAGUGGCCAUGGACUGAAACCUCUGAAACUACAAGCCACAUUAAACCUAUCUUCCUUUUAAA